UCCUAACCUUAUUAGCAUAAAUCGGAAGAAUUCGGAGAUAAACGUAAUAAAAUAUGAACAAAAUCCGUAAACGUCCGAACAGCUUUCCUCGCGAGAAUUCAGCGAGAGCAACAUGCCAGUGGUGAAAAUCGAGAGAGAAAUUCAACAUGAAAAAAGAGGUAAAACUUUAUGUUUUCUCGAUUUAUAAGGUUUGUAAAUUGCAAAAAGUUGAAAAACAAACGUUUCUUUACUUGAAAAGUGAAAGUAGGUAUACGGUUUCUCAUUCUGUCAAGUGCUAUUGCACUUUAAAGUGUCAAAACAGCACCUCUCGAUUUUGUAAACAUGUUUCCACGUGGAAGGGAGUAUUUGUGUCGGUCAAGAUUAACCCACAUACAUUGAUUUAGUAAACAAAAACACUUGUUAGAGUACAUCUUGAACAGCCAUCUCCAGGAUAUACUCUGAAGACAGCGAUGUGAAAGUUCAAGGUUUGCCUGUUCAGACACUUUAAUAAUAAUGAAUGGGUGGAAAAAUUCUCACAUCAUGCUGCAUAACAGUACAUUUCAGCUGUAACAAUACAUAUACGAAUUAUCUGAUGAAAGCUUCAACCAUGAGAAUCUAGGAAAGGAUGUCAAGGCCAAAGAGAAGGCCAUAUAAAAAUGGUUGCUGAAUUCAUGAAGACUGGGAUGAUAAAGUACUUUUCUACUCUUAUGAACUAUAUCUAAACAUCGUUUGAGGAUCCCUUUCUAAGAAAAGAAGAAUUUGCAUAUUCAAAGACUCUUUAGUUUAUUGUUUGUUUGUAUGUUGUUUUAAAUUAAUGUUCUUCUUGAGAAUUUUUAACUCAUAUGGGGAUGCCAACAUUUGCUGGUGGAGAGCUGCAAAUUUUGCCCUUUACUUGGCACACAUGGCUAAUUGAGCAAUGAGGGAUCUUUUUGGUGCAAGCACCUACUGCAACACAGGA